rnacentral:rRNA from 1 species
UUCAGUGACGAUAGCGAAGAGGUCACACCCGUUCCCAUACCGAACACGGAAGUUAAGCUCUUCAGCGCCGAUGGUAGUUGGAGGUUUCCUCCUGUGAGAGUAGGACGUCGCUGAUC